rnacentral:lncRNA from 1 species
CUCGUUUCUUAUUUUUAUCAGCAUUACAGAGGAAUACAUCUGUGGUGAAGGUUUCCACAAAUCUAAUAGCAAUGCUGUUAUUUCUGAUUUUAUAUAGAGAUUUUUAUUUAGGGAUCACAAAUGCUUUACAAAUGUAGCCUUACCUGUCUGCCCAUACUAAUCCCUCCCCACUUUCUUGCUUACAGAUGGAGAAAGGGAAGCAAGGAGGUUAGGCAUGAUUUUAUACAAAUGUCCCUGAUAUUUGGAAAGACUGUCAAGGAGACAGGGUUCUUCUCUGAGCCCUGGCUAGCUAUUCCAGCACCCAUACCAGGCUUUUUCUCAAGGGAGAAAAUGAACUAUCUCACACAGCAUGUUUACAGCCCAAUAUGUAAGGCAAAACGGCAAAACACAGGAAAUGACAAUUUCAUUUGUGUGUGCUGGACAACAGGGAAAGGUGUGAAACUAUUGAACAAGGAGAAUAUGAAAAUGACUCCUGAUUCUUUACUUAGCAUGUGGAAAGAUGGAUAAAGUAUUGUGAAGCAAACCUAAACCCACCCAGGAUGAGUGUGUCAAACUCUGGAAAAAUGGGACAGAGUUCCUACAGCCCUGUGUAUGGGCCCCCAAAGGUAAAGCAUUCAUUUGGUCAUAUCCAGGCCCUACCCCUC